AGGGUGAGACCUGAUGCCGAGCCGAUUGUGGUGAAGUGGAUGAUCCUAUGCUGUCGAGAAAAGCCUCUAGCGAGUUUCAUGGCGGCCCGUACCCUAAACCGACUCAGGUGGUCAGGUAGAGAAUACCGAGGCGUUCGGGUGAACUAUGGUUAAGGAACUCGGCAAAAUGCCCCCGUAACUUCGGGAGAAGGGGGGCCAUUGCUGGUGAUGGGCCUUUGCGCUCGGAGCUGGUGGUGGCCGCAGAGACCAGCGAGAAGCGACUGUUUACUAAAAACACAGGUCCGUGCGAAGCCGUAAGGCGAUGUAUACGGACUGACGCCUGCCCGGUGCUGGAACGUUAAGGGGACCGGUUAGUCACAUUUCGGUGUGGCGAAGCUGAGAACUUAAGCGCCAGUAAACGGCGGUGGUAACUAUAACCAUCCUAAGGUAGCGAAAUUCCUUGUCGGGUAAGUUCCGACCUGCACGAAUGGCGUAACGACUUCUCGACUGUCUCAACCAUAGGCCCGGUGAAAUUGCAUUACGAGUAAAGAUGCUCGUUUCGCGCAGCAGGACGGAAAGACCCCGGGACCUUUACUACAGCUUGAUAUUGGUGUUCGGUUCGGCUUGUGUAGGAUAGGUGGGAGACUGUGAAGCCGUGACGCCAGUCAUGGUGGAGUCGUUGUUGAAAUACCACUCUGGUCGUGCUGGAUGUCUAACCUGGGUCCGUGAUCCGGAUCAGGGACAGUGUCUGGUGGGUAGUUUAACUGGGGCGGUUGCCUCCUAAAGGGUAACGGAGGCGCCCAAAGGUUCCCUCAGCCUGGUUGGCAAUCAGGUGUUGAGUGUAAGUGCACAAGGGAGCUUGACUGUGAGACCGACGGGUCGAGCAGGGACGAAAGUCGGGACUAGUGAUCCGGCGGUGGCUUGUGGAAGCGCCGUCGCUCAACGGAUAAAAGGUACCCCGGGGAUAACAGGCUGAUCUUCCCCAAGAGUCCAUAUCGACGGGAUGGUUUGGCACCUCGAUGUCGGCUCGUCGCAUCCUGGGGCUGGAGUCGGUCCCAAGGGUUGGGCUGUUCGCCCAUUAAAGCGGUACGCGAGCUGGGUUUAGAACGUCGUGAGACAGUUCGGUCCCUAUCCGCUGUGCGCGUAGGAGUCUUGAGAAGGGCUGUCCCUAGUACGAGAGGACCGGGACGGACGAACCUCUGGUGUGCCAGUUGUUCUGCCAAGGGCAUGGCUGGUUGGCUACGUUCGGGAGGGAUAACCGCUGAAAGCAUCUAAGCGGGAAGCCUGCUUCGAGAUGAGGGCUCCCACCCACUUGAUGGGGUAAGGCUCCCAGUAGACGACUGGGUUGAUAGGCCAGAUAUGGAAGCCGGGUGACCGGUGGAGUUGACUGGUACUAAUAGGCCGAGGGCUUGUCCUC
rnacentral:rRNA from 1 species